rnacentral:tRNA from 1 species
UCCCUCGUAACUUAGUCACUGAAGAAUCUGCCUGCAAAGCAGAAGACCCAGGUUCAAUUCCUGGGUUGGGAA